CGUUGUUCGGAGGUGACAUAAAUCCGGGAUGGGAGCUUGCCUUGCCACUUGUAAAACUGGGAGGGUACUUUGCAGAGCCGACUCAGCCGAGACCGCCGAGACCUCCGCGACGUUCCUUUUUGUUACCCAGCGAAACCGACAACAAAAAUAUCCAAAUUCGAUUUCUCUACAAUAGCCCGUUUCAGGGCUUGAAGCUCAGAGAUUGGGAGUGUUUGCUUCUGAAGCCCCGUUUCUUGUCAAAUUGCACUACGAUCAAUCGGGCCAAAGUGCUGUCAGCCUUAGCAAGCAAUGUAAUUUUUUGGUCAUUCUCCCUCUGAUAUUAGAAUGUGGAAUUUUGCAUCCAAUUGCAUAUCUAGAAGUGUUGGACUGAAAAAUGGUUAUCUAAACGCCACCCAAGCUGCUUCGGAAGGCUCUGAUGAUGAGGCUUCUUCAACUGUUAGCAGAGAGGAAGGUCUAGAGUGCCCAAUAUGCUGGGAAUCAUUCAACAUUGUUGAAAAUGUACCCUAUGUGUUAUGGUGCGGCCAUACCCUUUGUAAAAAUUGCAUACUGGGACUGCAAUGGGCCGUUGUGAAAUUUCCCACUCUACCAGUUCAGCUUCCACUCUUUAUCUCCUGCCCGUGGUGUAAUCUCUUAUCCUUUCGUCUCAUUUAUGGGGGAAAUCUCAAGUUUCCUCGCAAGAACUACUUUCUUCUCUGGAUGGUUGAGAGCAUGAAUGGUGAUAGAGGGAAGUCUCAUUCGUCCUUCUCUAUGGAUCAUCAAUCAGUCUGGCCAGCAAAUGGCAAUUUACCAAAUGGUCAAGUGGGCCAGGUUAACCUUAGGAGGGCACAACAUACUCGACAUCCUGAGCCAUCAAGAUCAAGCCAUAACCAUGGUGGUCUCAAUAAUUACCUCAGUAUGGAGGCUUUACACUCUUCGCUUCAAAAGUCACUGGUUUUCUUCGUUCAUUUGACAGCCAAGUUCCCGUUGGUUGUCAUAUUUCUUCUGAUUGUCUUAUAUGCAAUACCUGCCAGUGCAACCAUCUUGGCUCUGUACAUACUUGUCACACUUCUGUUUGCUCUCCCAUCAUUUCUCAUACUUUACUUUGCAUAUCCUACUCUGAAUUGGCUUGUGAGAGAAAUCAUCACAUAAGAUGCUCGUUUUCUCUUAGUUUGCAAGUGGGCGACGAUUUUCCACCUUGUAAGGUUGAACUGAGUGCUUCCAUCGAAGCCCCUCUGUCUCAGUAGCAUCCAAGUCUUCAUUUUCAGAAUCGUUUUGCCUCUUAUCGAAUGCAGGUGGCAUGAAGAUGUGACAUUAGUUUCUGGAAUUUUAAAGUGUUGAUUUCAUCCAGGUCCAAAUGCAAAUUCUUUAUUUGCGGACGGUUCCAUUGUGGAUUUUCAAAGCUCCUGUAAGAGUACAGUUGUAAUAGUCUUUUGUUCUGCAGGUUCUUUGCAUCACCUGCAACUCGUGAAUGAGCAUGUAUCAUGCUGGAUUUGUUUUUUGUCGUUGUGCUGUGAAUCUUCAACAAUUUCCAUUCAAAUUCACGAUAAAAGAAGGAAAAGAAUAAGCAGAAUCAGUGCAGCAGAUUUCUCGCUUUGUGAUACUUCUAUACAGUAAAGGCCAUUGGAGUACAGACAACUAUGGUGGUAAACACAUGUUACAUCAUUUGCUUGAAAAGUAAUGCUACUCAUCAUCCUAAUUCUCAUCAUUCACUCAUCAUCCUAUAACGUGACAUUAGAUGAUUAGAGAUUUUUUAUUAUAUUUCAUUUAUGAACCUACCAUCUAAUGUCACAUCAUAGGAUGAUGAAUUAUGAUGAUGAAUAGAUUUUUUCUUACUUGAAAUAAAUUGAACAACCCUCCCUACCAUUGAGUUAUUGGAA